GGGACAUAAGUCCUUACCAAACCGUUGCAAACUCCGAAUACCCUGAAGUUCAAUCGCGGGAGACACACGGUGGGAGCUAAAUUUCAUCGUGAAGAGGGAAACAACCCAGACCGCCAGCUAAGGUCCCUAAAUCAUCGCUAAGUGGUAAACGAUGUGGAAAGUCAUAGACAGCCAGGAUGUUGGCUUAGAAGCAGCCAUCAUUUAAAGAGUGCGUAAUAGCUCACUAGUCGAGUGGCCCCGCGCCGAAAAUGUACCGGGGCUAAACAAGAUGCCGAAGUUAUGGAUGCAUCCUUCGGGAUGCGUGGUAGGAGAGCGUUCUAAGGGCGGUGAAGGCAAAUCGUGAGGAUUGCUGGAGCGCUUAGAAGUGAGAAUGCCGGUAUGAGUAGCGAGACACGGGUGAGAAUCCCGUGCACCGAAUGACUAAGGUUUCCAGGGGAAGGCUCGUCCGCCCUGGGUUAGUCGGGACCUAAGUCGAGGCCGAAAGGCGUAGACGAUGGAUAGCAGGUAGAGAUUCCUGCACUAGUGUUAUUUGUUUGAGCGAAGGAAGGACACAGGAGGCUAUGGCAAGCGCGCUGAUGGAUAUGCGCGUCCAAGCAAUGAGUCUGAGGAGGAGUUAAAUGCUUCUUCUCACACGGACAAGUUGUGAUGGGGAGGGAAGUUUAGUACCGAAGUGCCAGACGUCACACUGUCAAGAAAAGUUCCUAGUGAGAAUAACACUACCCGUACCGCAAUCCGACACAGGUAGUCGAGGAGAGUAUCCUAAGGUGAGCGAGAGAACUCUCGUUAAGGAACUCGGCAACAUGACCCCGUAACUUAGGGAGAAGGGGUGCUGACAAUGUCAGCCGCAGUGAAUAGGCCCAGGCGACUGUUUAUCAAAAACACAGGUCUCUGCUAACUCGAAAGAGGAUGUAUAGGGGCUGACACCUGCCCGGUGCUGGAAGGUUAAGUGGACGCGUUAGCCGCAAGGCGAAGCGCUGAAAUGAAGCCCCAGUAAACGGCGGCCGUAACUAUAACGGUCCUAAGGUAGCGAAAUUCCUUGUCGGGUAAGUUCCGACCUGCACGAAUGGCGUAACGAUGGCGGCGCUGUCUCCACCCGAGACUCAGUGAAAUUGAAAUCGCUGUGAAGAUGCAGUGUAUCCGCGGCUAGACGGAAAGACCCCGUGAACCUUUACUAUAGCUUUGCACUGGACUUUGAAUUUGCUUGUGUAGGAUAGGUGGGAGGCUUUGAAGCGUGGACGCCAGUUCGCGUGGAGCCAACCUUGAAAUACCACCCUGGCAACUUUGAGGUUCUAACUCAGGUCCGUUAUCCGGAUCGAGGACAGUGUAUGGUGGGUAGUUUGACUGGGGCGGUCUCCUCCUAAAGAGUAACGGAGGAGUACGAAGGUGCGCUCAGACCGGUCGGAAAUCGGUCGUAGAGUAUAAAGGCAAAAGCGCGCUUGACUGCGAGACAGACACGUCGAGCAGGUACGAAAGUAGGUCUUAGUGAUCCGGUGGUUCUGUAUGGAAGGGCCAUCGCUCAACGGAUAAAAGGUACUCCGGGGAUAACAGGCUGAUACCGCCCAAGAGUUCAUAUCGACGGCGGUGUUUGGCACCUCGAUGUCGGCUCAUCACAUCCUGGGGCUGAAGCCGGUCCCAAGGGUAUGGCUGUUCGCCAUUUAAAGUGGUACGCGAGCUGGGUUUAGAACGUCGUGAGACAGUUCGGUCCCUAUCUGCCGUGGACGUUUGAGAUUUGAGAGGGGCUGCUCCUAGUACGAGAGGACCGGAGUGGACGAACCUCUGGUGUUCCGGUUGUCACGCCAGUGGCAUUGCCGGGUAGCUAUGUUCGGAAGAGAUAACCGCUGAAAGCAUCUAAG
rnacentral:rRNA from 1 species